rnacentral:rRNA from 1 species
UACGAGGGGGGCGAGCGUUAAUCGGAAUUACUGGGCGUAAAGCGUGCGCAGGCGGUUUUGUAAGCCAGGGAUGAAAUCCCCGGGCUCAACCUGGGAAUGGCAUUUGGGACUGCAAGGCUGGAGUGCGGCAGAGGAGACUGGAAUUCCUGGUGUAGCAGUGAAAUGCGUAGAUAUCAGGAGGAAUACCGAUGGCGAAGGCAGGUCUCUGGGCUGACACUGACGCUCAUGCACGAAAGCGUGGGGAGCAAACAGG